ensembl:lncRNA
CAUCAGCUCAUUAGUAGAAUCUCCAAGACCUGAAGUGGGUUUGACAGAAAAAGGAGACAAGCUUGGGCAGGCCGGAACACAGCAAGCAAACAUCAAGCCGUCAGCGAGCAUCUGUUGGGCUAGUAGACUUUUUGUUGUUGUUUUUGUUGUGUUCUACACGUUUGCAGUCGUCAGGCUCAAAAUGUUUCUGGGGGUUAAUGAAUAGCAGUGACACACAGAACCAGUCUGAGUUUUGAUGGGUCCCAAGAGGUGUUUUUCUCCAGGCCUCGCACUUGAACACUAGUGCCUGAAAGGGGCGACUACACUUCAUGUUACCGCCAGUAAUGCAUCGCAGCAUUAUGGAUGGGCCCACUGUCCACUGCCUCUCAGUGCAAAGGAGGUCAGCAUCUCGCAAACGAGUGCCACGCUGCCCUCUAAGGUGAUUACUGAUAAAGAAUGACAUGCUGAAGGGAGACGCAGGGGAAAUAUACGCCAGAGUCCAAUCACCUCUCCUGCCUCAAUACAUUCUCUCAUCGGAAGGCCUGUAUAAAUACAGCGAGAACGAAUACUCCCCUCUCCUUAUGAGACACUUCAUCUCCAGAAGAGGACAGAAGGUCGAGUCAUCAAAAAUGCAGGAGGCUUUUGGCGGAGUAUCCACAUGUUCUCUCUGAUAUUGUGAUGAGGUCUCAAAUAUUUUCAAACAUACUGCAUUUUCUCUGUAAGAUACUCCCUGUCAUAGUGAAAUGGCCUGUGACACGAACACUGUAAAAGACACAGAGAAAAUGGUCCAUGUGGGAACCCUGCGUUUGGCUUCUGUUUCCAUGAUGUCACACUGGGUAGCUCCGCCCAUAGUGAAUCCUCAUUGGUCCAAGAUCCUGCACCACAUAGAUCUACAGAUCUCGGUUUCAGAGAAAGGACAGAAAACAUGUUAACCUUUGUAUAUCUUCAAUGAAGCCCUAGCAUGCAAUUGUAAAGUAUGUCUAAUUUAAAUAAAAUAUCCGACCAUCACACACUUUUUAACAUAUGAUACUUGAACAUUGUUAAACAUGUUAGCAUGUGCAUAAAAACACAACAUUUUGUCUUUUGACUUCUAGCAUGGCUAGCUAAAAUAGUAGACUUUAAAUAAAAUCACAAGCUUGGCAUUUCUGCUUUUUAAACCUCCAAUAUGACCAAUUUGAAGUCCAUUACCACAGUUAAACUUUUCUGUCACAAAUACUAUUCAUAGACAAUUAGCUGUCCAUUAAACUAAUUAAUGUGCAUUAAAUUAACCAGAAUACUCCUAAUAAGAAGAUUAGAUCUUCAACUCAAAUCCAAGGAUGUGUUUUCGUACCCACACACAAAGAAGUAGACUGUCAGAGAAGGAGAGAAGAGAGUCCAUACUGUUUGAGCCUCUGUGUGUGCACACAUACACUUGAAAUAUUAGGUUGUUAGCAAGCACCAUUACGAAGUGAGAAAGGGAGGCGAACAGAGAGCCAUUCUUUCACGAGGAGGUGCCAUGUCCCAACCAUCACACUCCCGGCUCAUGAGGACUCCAAUGGCACCUGAGGGGGAAUCUCAUGGCUGUCAUCCCAGAAAGCCUCCUGCACUGAUGCAGGCCUGCCAUCUGCUCUCCAUAUGAGAUAAAAAUGAGGAAUUGUCUUCGAAAAGCCAUCUUUUUCUCUUCUUCAACUCACCAACUGAAAAAUCGUUGUUAUUGCUAAGAUAUUCUGGAAACAAAAACAGG